AAAAUUAGACCUACAGCAGAUCCUGGUCUGCAGCUCCUGUCUCUGACACUCUCAGCUUCUGCUAUUUCAGCACCAAAGCCAGGAUAAUACAAAUGAGAGAGAUUUAAAACAAGCGAUUGGGGGGGCUACCCUGCUCUUUCAGACAUACACAGCUAAAUCUCCCUUCAAGAGGGACGUGUUUCUUAAUCAUGCCUUAAAAAUUCCGUAAAAGCAGGGGGUCUCCCCUCCGCUGAGGGGCGGUCGGCACAGUGCGUGCCUUAUGAAUAAACCGGCUAUUAGGCUGAUGCUUCAAGUAACACUAUCCAGCACCAAGGUACAAAAUGUCUGUAUUGGACUCUGAUCUUGUGAUGCCAUCUUGGUAAUAAUUACUGUUGUACAUUAACGAUGUCUUGGUUCUUAUAGCUUGGUUAUUCGACUUAUAACUGAAACAGGUGGAAAACCCUGGUGUGAGGUUGUGAAGAUGAUUCUAGUAUUACACAACAGGUUUUGUUGGGUUUUUUUGUUGAUGAGGGCUCUCCUCUUUUUUGAGGUAGAGAAAGGGUUUGUGCAUUAAGACUUUUUUCUGGUUUGUCUUAAUAUGCAUGCUUUUUAAUGGUAUUAAAUAAAGGAGAUGACCUAUUUCUGGUGGAAAUGGUAAUUUUUAAGUUUACCAAAAUUACCUUGAUAUUAGGGGUUUAUGAAACACCUUGUUGCAUAUUAAAGAGUCAGAGAUUAAACGUAGGGGAAAAGGGAAAAAAUCUUUAAGGGAAAAAUGUUUAGGGAAAAAAUCCUUUUAUUGAUUUCUGUAUAGUACUUUUCAAUGCUAUUUGAGUUUAUUUAAGUUGUAAAAUAAAACCUGUAGUAUUAUACACUGUUUAUAAAUACUAUCAUACACAAUGAAUUUUGGUGUGUAAGUGUUGUGUUGGGGAAGUCUUGCAGACAGGCAGGUCCAGUAACUGAAUUGUAACUAUUUGGUUCUGGUUAGGUGAGGGGUUUUUUGUCUGUCUAUUGGUAGAGGUUUUUUAAGUAUAGCUGUGCUGAGUGAACGUUGUGUUCUAGGAGCUGUAUCCUGUGUUGCAGUUUCAAUUUUUUUUUCUUGAAUCUUUCAUACUUAAUUUUGUGCUUAAUACCUAUUUGCCAUAUUGCUGCUCUACAGAGAGCAGGACACAAUUGCUGUUGUCACUGUGCCACUAACUCUGCAUUUGCUUUCUGCUGCUUAGACCUGAGAAGAUCUUGAGCCUGAAGAAGGACACUGUCAGCCAUCAGACCUGAGCAGCAAAAUGCCCCUGCUACCACUGAGCCAUGUUCAGCUGGGUCUUUCAGAUGCAGUUGAGUUUUUCAGAUGCAGACCUUGCGAGACCAUUGUGCCUACAGGUUCCAGAUUUCCCAGAAUUACAGAAUAUGCCAAGAUGGAAGGUACCUCCCAGGAUCUUCAGGUGCAUUUUCUAGCCCUGCUUAGGACAGUCCCCAGGAGUCCUACCGUGUGCCUGAGAGCACUGUCCAAAUGCUUCUUGAACUCUGUCAGGCUUGGUGCUGUGACCACUGCCCUGGGGAGCCUGUUCCAGUGCCCAAUCACCCCUCUGGGGGAAGAACCUUUUUCUAAUAUACAACCUAAACCUCCCCUGACACAACUUCAGGCCAUUCCUUUGGGUCUUGUCACUGGCCACCACAGAGGAGAGAUCAGUGCCUGUUUGUAGAAGGAAGCUGUAAAUGCAGUGAGGUCUCCCCUCAGUCUCCUCCAGGCUGAACAGACCAAGUGUCCUCAGCCACUUUUCAUACAGCUUCCCCUCAAGGGCCUUCACCAUCUUCAUUGACCUCCUUUGGAUGCUCUCUAAUGGCUUAAUAUCUUCCUUACGUUGUGGUGCCCAAAAUUGCCACAAUAUUCAAGGUGAGACCGCUCCAGUGCAGAGCAGAGUAGGACAAUCACCUCCCUCGACCAGCUGGUGAUGCUUUGCCUGAUGCCCCCCACGACAUGGUUUAUGGCACGUGGACUGAAUGUGGCUGGCUGGACACUUCACCUUGCCCCAGGCUUACAUCAAACCUUCUUCUUCUCUUCCAUUUUCUCGUCAGAGACAAGAUACACAGAUACAUAUACAUGCAAGGGGAGAAGAAAUGUGCCAUUGGUACAUGCAUUUGCCUUUAAAAUAGUUAUAUUUGAGUCCAGCGAUAUCCAAAUUUAGGUGAUUUUGCAAGCUGCAACAGCAAAAAUUGAUACACUGGAAGGAUGUGGCUACUUACUCAGUGAACAGGGAACUGUGCCAAAAUUUUGGAGGCUUCACCAGAGUGUAAAUGUUAGACAUGGGUACCUAUACUCCAGCAUACAUGUGUAGAGACUUCAGCACAGGGUAGGGUUAUCUGAAGUUAACUUUAAAUAAAAUUGGUCAGUUAUUGGAAGGGAUCUGGCCUCAGUAACAGGCCACUCCAUCCACAGAAGUUACUAAGAAGUUACUAAAGUGCUCUGCCUUCUCAAAACCAUGUAGCUUCUACUGACUGAAGUGAAUUGCUUAAAGCAAACUCAACAGGACCUAGCCACUGGUAGUUUUCAGACUGUACCCACAGCAAAUUCCUGGGACAUGUUAAAACAUGGAGGGUUAACAAGACAAAAGCUCAUGGCUAUCCAUGAAAAAAGGAUAAACAGUGGCCCAACCCACUGGGAAUCUCCGCACUAUUCAACAACUUGCUGACAUGCGUAAAUUUCCCAUGGCUGUAACUCUUGAGAACGCAAUCAUAUGAACAACACAUGAAAAUGAAAAUAAGUUUAAUAAACAGUCAUUUUUUUAAUUGAGAAGCUCAAAAGGGAAUAGAUGGUUGCAAGAAGCAAGAAUCUUCACAGAUUUUUGUUACAUUUUCAAAACCAGUACCUCUAUUCUCGGCAUUUGUGUUUUCUAAUGGAGAUCAGACACAUGUUCAAAGGAGUUUUACAGGUAUAAUUCCUUACAUUCAAUAGCCACAAUGGAUUUUAAACAGUUUCAUAGCAACGGAUGGUUCAUUAUGACCAUUAACUUAGAUAAGGGAAGAUCAGUUUGGCACAUCCGUAAUGGUCCAUAAUGGUUUGUGGGUAAAAAAUUCUUUCUCUUCAUCUGUUCCUAAACCAUGCUUUUUCAGUUUUAGUUUUUGGUUGAUUUUGUUUGAGUUUUUUUUUAUUUUUUUUCCCCCUAGACUUUGUUUUACAAAUCAGGUUCAUAUGAAUUCUUGCAUUCAGGAAAAAAAAAAUCGUACCUAGUAGCUUUGUGUUAAGAACAUUUACCACAAAAAAAGUUUAUGUUUCUCUGGAAUGUAGUGGCCAUAGUUUAUCCUAACAGAUAAUCAAAACUUUUUAAAGUUGAAUAUAUACCUUGACAGCAGCUAAACAGAUAUUCCUAAAUUGCAGAGAUUUUUAAAUGACUUUUGCUAUACCUGUUGAAUUCAGAAAGGUAACAUACUGUUUUUAAUGUUAAAUCCUGUUAUGCUGCUGGGACAUGUCAUAGUUCUUCUCUGAGACAAAAUAUUGCUAAUGCCAUGGUAGAGGAGGAAGUCACUGCAAUACCUGAUGAUGGAGCUGACACAAAGCCUUGGGAAGAGCAGAACCCAAGCUCUGCAGGAAAUGCAGAUCUGGAAUGUAAGGAUUAGUGCUGGGAUGUUGUGUUAUCCAGAGAUGCAGGUGUCUCAGCACGAGAGCAGUUGUGUUGGCAGAGGCUUCUGGUGGAGGCAUGGCCCUUGCUGUGGGAGGAAGACAUCACAUCUUGGAGGAAAUUACACCACCUCUCAGAGUGGUGUAUGUUUGGCAUAAGUACUUCAUCCCCCCCAACUCUCAGGGAGCAUUGUGUUGGCACAGUGUGUAAUCUAGGGCUCGUGAUUUACUUACCCCACACGUGUGCCUUCAGUGAGUAGCUAUGUAGGCAGCCUUUUUCAGCACAUGCGUGGGCCUGUUUUCAUCCCUGAGACUCUACUAAGGCUUACUAGAUAGUAACAUAAACACGUGUUUUAAAAAUAAUGCUUUAUAAUAUACUGUGGUGCCCUACAUGAUAUUUCAGACUGAUUCUAUGGUGAUGCAUAUUUGCAUAAACCUUAGUGAGACUUACAAAAGUAAGUGCCAAAUUUUAGAGAAAAUUGGAUUAAAUGACGUAGUUCUCUGUAGUAAAGACUUUAAAUUUUAAUCAAAUUUUGAGUUUGAGACUAGUAACUCUUAGACUGGAUGCUAACAAUUACUAGAUUUCCAAAUAGUGCUCAUUAUCACCAAUGUAUUUGUAUAGCAGUGAUUCCUAGAAGUAUGAAACAAACUUUAAAAGCCAGCAUUUUCCUUUCCCAAAACUCUGAUUUGGAUUUUGUUCUGUUUUUUUUUCCCAGGUGUACCUAGAGUGCUACCCUGUGAUGCUGCAAACCUAGUCACCCCUGGGCAGACUUCUGUAAGACACCUGUGAUGAAGUGUAUUGGUGCAGUUCUUCCCAGUGAUAGGGCAAUGCAAUACAAUCCUAAUCUUGCUUAAUAUGUGGAACAGGCAGAAAGAUGUUUGAUUCUUUAUUAUCUGCCUGAUAUGCAAUCUUUACAGAAAAAACAUGAAAGAGAUGGGCUUGAAUUCUGGUCUGUUAUCCCUCAUGUCUGUGGUCACAAUGCCUUCCCACUUCAGUGGUAUUCAGAACUUCGUAAAUACUACAAGGUUUAUGGAUUUCAAAUUGUCCUCCAAUUUGGGGUUUAUUUUCCACAUGGCUCUGGGGACUCUGUGUUAGACCAAAUAGAUUGUUUAUGGGUGGUGGAACUGCUGAGUCACAGACCCUUUCAGGUAGUUCCAACCACUGUUGAGCUAUUAAGCUCUGUCUUAACUCACAAGGAGAGAUUUUCACAUCAUGUUUCUCAGGACCACAUAAUGGUUGGGGUUGGAAAGGACCUCUGGAGAUAAUCUAGUCCAACCCUCCUGCUAGAGCUGGUUCACCUGGAGCAGGUUGCGCAGGAUUGCAUGUAGGCAAUUUAUGUAUCUAUGGAGGAUCAUGAGAACACUUUGAUCAUAAACAGUAAGGAGCUUUCAGUAAGACAUUUUUGUAGUUAGGCAGUUUUAACUACAGUUUUAAUAACCUUAGUGAAACAUCAUAUUUUUAAAAUAAUUAAGAAGUUUGUUGUGACCUUAACACAUUACUAAUACAGAAUUACUUAAAAAUAAAUUAACCCCUAGAAAUUAUGUGUGGUGGUAUAGAAUAACCUCCAAGUCCUAGCUAAGCCCCUCCUGGCUACUGCAAAAUUUAAUCCUGUCCUGGCUGGAACCAGGACAAAUGGGAAUAAGAAACCUCUAGCAAUUCCUUGCUUCCAGUCUACUUCUGGAAUUCUUUUUAGUGAGUAGGGACACAUGUGACUAAGAAAGACAGUAAGUGUCCAUUAAAUUUCAUACAAUCUCAGUUUUAUCUGAUGGUCAAAAGUCUUUAAUACUUCUGUGACUUCCACUGUUCUGCUAGAUUUGGUUGGAAUUGUCCAAGAGGUUGAAAAAUUACCAGACAAAUCAGGGUAAUAGUUGAGUGAAUGGAUAAUGAGCCUGUAUAAACCUCAUUUCCUUACGACAUUAUACAGCAAAGUGAACAAUCUGCUGGAUGGGGGCAUCUUCAAUAUUUAGCAGUAUAGAUGUUUUGUUUCCGUUGUUAAUCUUACUGCCAGUUUGUGGAGAAAAGUUCUGUUUGCUUAACAGAAAAUAUCCUAAUCAGUCUCCAUCAUGUUUGGCUUUUUCUUUGGAAAAUAUGUAAGAGUUAAGCUGAAAAUAUUCUACCUCGAGUUAUCUGUAGUUAGCAUUUCUGAUCAGAACAUCCAGUUCUUUCUUCUCACUUUCCUUUUAAAAUUAUGUUUUUAUUUCAACCACUUUCUAGCAGCAGGCAAAGCUGCUGUUACACUCUACCCAGCUGUGAAAUCAAUAUGAUUUUCAUUACAAAGAUAACAGAAACUCUCUUAGAAAGACUGUGAAUUGCCAAAGGUCAAAUAACAGUCAGUGGCAAAGCUUAGAAUUUAGAUAUACUAAUUAAAAAAUCCUGUGGUAUAAAUAUAUUAAUGAAAUGCACCCUGAGAAAUGUUUGCAUUUAAGAUGGCAACAAUUUUAAGGUAUUACAAUAUUUCUUUAAGUACUGUAGUUCAUGUAAGCCACAUCAAACUGUGACAAAUUCUUUCUUUGGUUUAUGAUUAUUUCUUAUAAAAAUAGGUAUUAGCUCUUGUUUAUUUUUUUAAUUCACAAAUAUUCGAGUUUUGUUAGAUUAGAAAGUGUAACAGUCACAGAAAACAGAGCAUAUCUAGUAAGAUUUUUGUCAUAUUGGACUAUAAAAAUUACCCAGAAACUGAAUGAAUGGGUGCAUCAGUUAUUUUUGUAAUAUAUGACUUCAUUAGGAAAAAGAGGAAGUGCACAGUCAAACUGAAAGCGGCACUUGAGUCUUUCAGCCAAAGUAAGACAGUUCUAUUUAAAUUAAAACCAUUUUAAAAUAAAUGUUAUUACUCUUCCUAAGAUUAUCCUUAAUCUCUUCUUUUAAACCUUAAUUUUUGCAGUAGUUAAAUUGCAUCUACCUUAUUAUAGAUGAAAAUAACAGUAAAUAAAUUACUUUGUUACUUGCAGUUGUUUGAUAUUCCUCUCUCAUGUCUCUCUAUUUUUAUUUAAAUUCUGUCAUUUUCAUGCUAUGUGCUAAAACUAGACUCAGAUUGCCGAAUAUUGUGGAUUUUAAUAGAAAAAGUUCCUCACCUUACAGCUGAGGGUUUUUUGUGUUACUGUGCUCCCUCUGCUGGAUAGUGCAUGUUAAUUUUUUAUUCCCUGAGCUGUGCUAAUAUCCAUGUUCUGUAAACAAGCAAUCACACUGCCUUAAUGAAAGAGGUAUAAAAAGUGGGAAUGCGUCAUUUUGGUCUCAGAUAACAUGGAAAGUGACAUCUGUAGGCUUGGAAAAAUCCUGCUGUCUGGCAGCUCAAAAAGCCUUCAGUGGACAUUUGAGGAAAAAUAAUUUACUAUCUCUCUAAAACCAGAUGGACACUAGAUAACCUCCUUUCAUUUGUAUAACUUAGAGAGGAUGAUGUUGAUUCUCAUACUCUGGUAAGUACAACAGUAUCCUCAGAUGUCCCUGUAAUGUUAUUAGUGUCUCAGCCUUAGCGGUGUUGUUCUCAUAACUUGCUUCACCCUUUGUUGAAUCUUACAAAGUAACUGGUGGGCAAGUGUUUGCUUCAGUGGAGAAAGCAAACAUGCUCUCUUGGUCAGUUCCAGCCCCACAGCAAGGUGAUGACAACUCGGUCCUUCGCCAUCUCUACUGCAGUGAGGCAAAAAUGAUUUGCUUCUAGAGGAGAUUUUGGCCUUUGACUUCAUGGGGUGUUUUGGGCUAGCUCUUCUGCUUACCUUUCUCCCACUGCUGUAACACAGUGAACCUGGUUUUGUCCUUCCUUCCUCCCUUCCUCCCUCCCUUCCUUUCACCCUUCCUUCCCAGAGGGAUGUGGCUUGAGUGGGCACCCUCAGCACAACUGAUUCCAUCUCGCACCUCUCUCAAGUGGCCCUGGAACCUCCUAACCCAGGGGCCACCCAGGCUACCCCAUGGAGCACUGCCUGGAUCAGCCAGCCCCUUCAUUCCACAACCUCCCAGCUCUCUAUGCUGGCUGACCCAAGAGGCCCUAAGGAAAGGAGAUGGAAACUCAGGAUCCACUUCAGUUGCAGGUGAUUUGCUCGUCUAAGCUGCUCUUCCUGGAUCUUGAGCCAAGUUUUUUCCAGGGAAGCUGGAUACCUUUACAGUUUCCUUUAAAUUUAAUGUGAUGUUAUAAAUGCAACUACAUAUUAGUAAUAUCAAACUGGGAGGUUUUUUUCCAGCUUGGCUUGACUGCACUUACAGAUUGGCCUCCCAGAUGUGUCUCCCAUAUUUUAAUAUAGAACAGGCUAGUAGCAUAUUCUUUAAAAUAAAUAAAAAAUUGCCAAUUUUCAGGGAUAAUAACUUACGUUAUAAAACCAGAAACUAUUUGACUCCUGGUUUAACUGGGAGCCUCGUUUUGGGAAAAGGCAUUAUGGUCAAAUUCUAGUUAAGAAUUUUUUUCCUAAUGUCAGUUUUAAAUUUCAAUAUCUGGAUAUGUAAAAUAAUAUUUAUUGUCUUUGAUUGUCCUGAACAGUCCUACGGUGAAGUAAUUAGCAUAAUUAUAUUCUCUAUGAUUCUAAUAAAUAAAACCAACUUCCAUCUACAUGUACAUUUUCUUUUACAAAGGAAGUUGCUUUUUUAAACCACUUCUAGAAGAAAAAAAUGGUUAAAAGAAUAAAUUUCCAGUUCCUAAAACCUUCAGUUCUUCCUGUUCAGAAGAAAAGACAGAUGUUUUAUACAUUUUUCUUUUGUUAAAAUAAUAAAAGCUUGUGCUGUUGAAUAAAUAUUCUUCCUUAAUUUAACAAGACCCAAAUAGAAUCAGUGUUACCAUUUGCAGGACAGCUUGUCCUAGGGUGAAUCAAUGACAGUUCUGCUGUUGCUGAGGCUAGGAAGGACUUCUGCAAAAGGGACCCUCCAUGCAGGAGCUUCCAGGAUCAGGUUGGAAAUCUUUUGCCUUAAAUGUUUAUUGAGUUAUAGCAGCUAAAAUACUUGACAGUGCUUGUCUCAGCAAGAGCACACACCAUAUGCUUUGGGAACAUUCCCAAGCAGAAUAUUAUCCUCCUAGUGCCCCAGCAAGCUCAUUAAUACUCGAGUUAUCCCAUUCAGUGGGACUAAUCCAGCAGCCCCUGAAGUAAGUGAGGAGAUUCAAGUUGUCUUUAGAAUGCUUUGAAUAAAACCUUAGAUGAAGUUUGUAUAGUUUAAGUCACACCAGUGGAAUUAUUUUCCAAAGUUAUAAAUGUUAGCUCAUUUGCCACUUUCUUUAUUCCAAGCUACUUGUUUUCCUCCAUCUUAUGAAGGGCAGUGAUGUGAAUUGGAAAAAGGAAUAUAUUUUUAUAGCUGGAUUUGACUUUGUGUACAUUCCAGCUAUUUUCCUAAGUUUUUCAGAGAAGGACCGGAAUAAGCUUGUAUUGGCAUUCCAUAUAAUACUAACUCAAAUGCAAAUUUAUAUGUUGAACAAGUCUUUUCUCGAAAUAUGUGAUCAGUUCAUGGGGAGAACUGUGGAAAUUUUGUAGUUGGUGUGGAUAAGGAAAGUGCGAGUUUAAGCUAUUGUAGUUUUCAAUCAAUUCUAGUAAUCUUUUAUUGCUCUCUGGCCAUGCAAUACAUUUAAUAGAAAAAUAAUCUUUUACAAAAUAACUUAUUAUAUGUAAGAGAAGAAGAAUUGGGUUUUGCCAACCCCCGCCUCCCCCUCCCCUGGUCCCAGUAUUUUGCCAGACUAUAUUUCCUCAUAUGUUGUAAAAUUUUCACUUCCAUUCCUUUUAACAGCAGAUUUGAAUUUUAAUUUGGAGGGGGUGCAGGGGGAAGAAUAGGAUACGUGGGAAGUGAGAAAGCAUGAAGUUAGAAAAAAACAGACAAAAGAUACUAUUUCAAAUAAGUAUAUUUAUAACUUAGAUCAAACAAGAAGAAAAGACUGGAGAGGAUCUACUCCAGAUUCACACUGAUGUGGUAACAAUUGCUAUUACAGUAUCCAGCUUUUCGAAUUAAAUGUUGAUAGAAAUAAAUGAAUAAAAGACUGAGUAAACAGAAAUGUGUAUUCUGCCUUCCUAAAGCUUUUUUUCCAGCAUCUGGAGUACCAGAAUCAACACCCUUUUAUACAAUUAAUAGUACUAAAUAAGGACAUCAGCUGACAGGAAAUAAGAAAGUUCCUAUGGCAACUAAAAAUAAGCACAGGAGGAAAAAUGCAUCAAAUGCUGUCAGCAGACAGCAUGAAAGGCGGCUGUAUGUAGAUAAUAAACCAUGAGCAUACACAGAAAUAAAUCCUACUUGUAAAUAUAUGCAUUUUGAUUGCUUUUACUGGCACUUUUUUCUUUUGUUUUGUUUUUUUUUCCACCUAAAUGGGAAUGUGAUACCUUCGUUACAGCAUCUACUUACCAAUAUCUCAGAUUGUUUUGCUGAGAUAGGCUCCUGGUUUUACAGCCUGUGAAGCACAGGGAUAGAGCCGUGCAUCUUCAGGAGAGCACCUAUAUCCCCUUGGAUUUGUAUGCUGUUUAAGAAAGCCUUUGAUGCUUCAAAUCUCGUGCACUUCGGCACUUUCUCUGCAUGUUACUCUCGAGUUCCUGCAUACAAAAUAUCUGAGCAAACUUUUUGAUAGAAGCCGAAUGUCUGUAAGAGAUGUGACCUGUGGAAGAAGCAGGGCUGUACACAUCAUGUAGACAUUACUUACAUUCAUUUAAAGUUACACUGAGCUUGAAAAGCUGUAGAUGGUAAAGUCCCUGGUGGAGAGGAAACCUGAGGGUGCAGCUGCACUGCUGAGGCCACAUGCGAGCUGCUCCUUUCAUCUCAGUGGGAGAACUAGUUUUGAAGAUAGUUUAACUCUUGAAAUUCCUGACUUACCUGCUUUUCCUUCCUAUCUGAUCUUCCUACCUUCACCUCUUUCAUAAAAAGCAAACCCAACACCCCUCCCACCCUUACCAGUCCUGUAAAUGGCAGAGACAAUGCAUCGCUUCCCCUUUGCUCUCCCUGCUCUGAAACUGUUGCCCGUGCAGACACAUCCAGGCUUCCCCUUCUGAUGCACAGAUGCCAAGUUUUGAUAGUAAAACUCUUCUGCUGAGCCAUAGAGGACCUCGCCAGAGUGGCUCUGUUCGCCACAGGUUGAUGGGGAGACAAAACCACUGUCUAUCUUGGCCAGCUCAGGAAGAAAGCGGAGAACAUUCCACCCUGCAGGUAGCAAUGGGAUUGUAUUUCUUCCCUGUUAAUUCUAUCCUAUUAAGCGAUAAAAUGUAAGAGAACGCCAAAGCAAGACCAAAAGCAAGAACUGGGAGAAAUGUGGUCAAACUGCCUUGGUGCUGGUAGAGGCUCUUAUCAUUACUCAGGGUGUCUGUAAUUUAUGAUUUUUUAUGUGUCUGUGCUGAUUGCUGACACAAAUUUUGAAUUCAGCACUCAAUUGAAAAAGGAAUUCCACUGUUCCAAAGGCAACUUCAUUUUCAGUCUUAAUAUUAUACAUCUCAGAGGACUUUCUGGGGCAAAAAGAUCUCCUCAGCUAUUGUGGGCAACUUCGUCAUAUAAUUGCUUCUAUAAAAUUAAUUGAGAUGUGUUCCUAUAUAUACUUACAUAGCUUCCCUAUCCUGUUGUUCCGUGCGUAUGUGAUAGUGUAUGUCAGAUGUAACCCAUGAUUAUGUGACUCAGGCUGCAAGUCUACACAUGUAACCACAGGCAUGUGAAGUAUGAAUAGAUACCAGCCACUGAUACUAUUAUAGCUUAUUCUGCAGUUUGGGUAUGUACAGGCUGUUCUGAACAAUACCCAGCCCUGUUGGGACUAUACUUGCACUGCCUGCAAGUCACUGCAUGUACCACCCCAGAGAAAUCUAGGAACUGAUCAUUAGGUAGUCCAAACAAAACAUCAGAAACUGGUUGAUAGAGUCACUCAAAGGGAAUCACUUUCUCAAACUGUCUGAUGAGAACAAACAUAAACACGUCGUGUUUUGCUUUGACAUAAUUAGCACAGCAAAGAAAUUAGCUGUGUUCUGAUUGAGCAAAGGUGUAUACUACACAUAAGUACUCCAGCAAACAAAAUGCUUCUGAAAUUAUCUGAACCAGGAUGUCACUAUAAAGGGAAAUUGCAGAUUAUAUUGUAACAGAAAUUCAGGAGAUGGCAGCUGAAUGUUGGCAAUUACCUUCGCAUUCAUAACAAACUCAUUUUCAUUCAUGUCUUGUCUAGCGGGCAGAGCAGCCUGCGUCCGUGGGAGCUGCAGGUCUCGUGUUAGGGAACAUUUGGUCUCUGAGCCACACAUUCCUGGUGGUGUCAGGCAGGUACAGCCUGAAGCAGGAGGCAAGGCACAACCCGUUCUGUCCUUCCCUCCUGUCUGGGAGUACACCGUGCUCUUCAACAGCUAAAGGAACUUAUUGACCACUUCCCUGGUGCUGCUACAGAGCUGGGUAAUUGCAGUGAUUACAAUGAUUAGAUUACAAUGUAGUUUUUCCUACUGUGCUUGUGAAAUGUUGCAGCUCAUCCCACCUUUUAUUCAUGGCAGAUGGUAGAUUUGCUGAGUGUAUGAAUGGGUGCUGCAGGACUAAUCCGCUUUUUCCACCCCCCACAGCUUGGUUAUAUUCUUCACCUUGUGUGAACUAGCAGGGCAGUAAAAUAUACAGCAUGUCUACUUUGUGCAAGUCAGACUUGACAUUUCAUUUACCCUCUCAUGUUCAGUAGUUCUCUGAUAAAUGAGUUGAAAAUAACAGCAACCAAUGACAAGCAAACAGAACAUCAGUGACCUCGUAAUUUUUGUUCCUUGGAUGAAGAGUUAGUCCUGAUUGGCUGAAGAAUUUAAACACAAGUAUUAAGAAAGAGUUAGAAGAAACGAAAUAUAUAGUUUAAAUAUUUGCAUUAAGCAAGCCUGAAAGAAGACAUUGGGACAUUGGAAUUAAAAAGUCUAGGUUGGGUUUUGUUUGUUUGUUUGUUUGUUUUAAAAUACAUGUUUUCAAAUAGAAAAUGCCAAUGUAUCUCUAGCAAAAUUAGUUUAGCUGUAACAUAGAAUGAACUAAGGUAUUGUACUUAUGUCUGUAAGACCUGUACUAAAGGCUGCUAUUAGUAGCUCAGAAUAUGAUUGCUGAAAUGCUGACUUCUCAAAAUGCCAAAAUUUAUGUAGGUUUAAGUUUUAAAAAUCUCUACAAAGCACAAAACCAAGUUUUCAUUUGAGAAACGUUCUUCAAACAAUUGAAACACUAAAAGAAUUUCAGAAGUCUUGUUUGUGGAAGGGAUAAAAGAAAUAUCUUUUUUCUCUGCUGUGGUAUUUGUCAUCUUUCACUGUAAUAAAGUCCAGCUCCAUUGGGCCUGAUGAACUUUUUGACAACAGUGUUUGGCUUACCUACACUGAUGCAAAAAUUUCUCCUCUAGCAACAGCAACAGUUCUUCUGGCAAGUGCAAUGCAGUCAGAUUAGCUAUUCAGCACUGGUGACUGGGUAGACCCAGAAGAAGAGAGGGCUCCUGUGUUGAUCAUCACUAUUUCAGCAAACUUGUUGAAACUGUGUGUCUGGUGUAGGAUAGGGGAAGCAGAGGCACUCACACAGGGUGUGAAGAGUUCAGGUAAUUCCUGCUGACCAAGAAUGUGAACAACCUUCUAAAAGAAAAACACUUUUCAGCUGGAAAGAAGAAGUAAAAAUGGGAAAAAAAGAAAGAGUAAACAGGACUGCCUGUGCAAUAUUAAUGUCUACUGUAAUGAAUUUUUCCUUUAUAGAGUGCCUACUGUUCUAUUAAGAACUCAAUACUAACAGAUCUCUUGUUUCCUGGAUCACUUGCAGAUUAUGAAUGACAAUUCUCUUUGCUUCAUUGAUCAAAAUGUCAACAAAUGUUUUUGUAAUAAAGUUAAGUUAGUUUUUGAGGAUAGUAUACUUCGAAUAAAACAUUUCGUGGUGACUUAGUGAGCACUCAGAACAAAAACUUCUGAAAUACAACAAAAUUGGACAGCAUACACACAGCAAGUCAGUCUGUCUUGGUAUGCGAGAUUGCUCAGAAACCGAAGUAAAAUUCUGUGGGUCAAAUGUUCUGUUGGCAUAGUUAUCCUAUUCUGUUGGAAAGAACUUUUCUCAUUAAAAACAAAUGUAAAAUUUUUCAUGAAACUGUUUUUCAGCUCAUUUAGAGCAGCCUCUUUCAUGUGCUUAUUCCCAAGGGACUCAAAACACUCUUGGCUACUACUGAAAUGAAAGUCAAAAUUGUUUAGUACCUCACAGGAUUGAGCUACAAGUAAUCAGGGCUGAUUGCACAUUCGUGGGACCUCGGGCAAUGAUGUAAUGCCAUCUACUCAGUGACCUACUAUACUUCAUAAAUAUAGCUGUCUCACAGGAAACUCACUGCAUAUAUUUAACCUGAGAAUAAUAAAAAGUAUUUCAUUGUAUUAGUAAAUUAAAAAAAAAAUCAUUACACUUUCAAAACUGAGAGUACUUCUUGCUUUGAGUGCAAAGUUUUUUCCUUGUUCAAUGUGUUUCCGUUUCUUCAGCAAGUGUAAUUUGGAAAAGAAAUAUAUGACUGAUGCAUUAAAAUUGGAAAAAAGUCUAAACGAUGACAAAAUGUAGCGUGAUGAUUAGUACUCGUUAGCUAUAUUGAAGGCAGAAACAUGUGGUAGCCUAAAUUUGCUCAUGAUUAUAAAUGACAUUACUGGAAAGUCCAAACUAUACCACAGCUUUUGAGAUAACCAGGUUAUCUUGCACAUGCAGCUUAAAAGGCAUGUGGCAAAAGGGCAUGUGACAGGCAUAAGUCACUGUCCAGAGCCCAAUGCAGUGCAUAAAUAUCAUUCACAUUGCACAGAACAUAUUUAUAAUUUUAUACUAAUGUAUGAUAAGGAAAUUUUUAAAAAAAGUCUGGCAGGAGUGUUUAAAAUCUUCUUAUUGUAAGUCACAGGAUUAAUUUAUUAAGCAUGGGCUCCAAAUUCCUGUUCCAAGUUCAGGCCCUUCAGGGCUAAGCAUACAGGGAUGCUGAGUGCCUGGGAAUCUCCUGAUCACAACGGACACAAGACAGAGGGGAAGCUGCCAGAAACCUCCCUUCUUUUGAAGGCUGCGGUGAUAAGAAGAAUGAAAACCUAUGGGGCUUGUAUCCAUAAUCAGCUACUGAUUGUGUGAGCUGAGGAAGGGAAGCUCCAAGGAUGCCAACUUGCCCAAUGAGAGGCCUGAACUGGAGGAGAGGAACUAGGAAGCCCUUAGUAUUCUGAUCCCUCAGAUGGGACAGGUUCCUUGAGUUACCCCUGUACUGCUAAGUGACCUAAGAUUAAAGAGGUUCCUCAGCCUGCUGGCCACCAGGCACAGGCUGUCCAUGUCCUCCCUACACAUGUCCUCCCUGCAUCUCUUCAGGUGCCUGGUGGCAUUACCAUGACCCCAGCUGUCUGAAGUGAUGCUGUUGUAGUGGUGUGAAGUUGCACCUUGGGUUCCUAGGGCUGUGGCAUGGAAUGGGGAGGAUGGCCAGGGGUGGCCAGUCAUCUGGGACAGUAGUGGGGGCCAAGUGGAGGAAGGUCUGGGAGAUAUUGGAAACAUUAAAUAGUGUGGGUGAUCUCCAGUCUGCUACCUUGGCCCUCUUAUUUACCAGGUAAGAGACUAAACCAAAGGACUGCUUUGGAUCAAGAUUUAGCCUGACUUUUUUUCAGCUGUCACCCUGUGUUAAUGGAAAACUUGCUGUUAAAGAGGACUGCUUUGUGAAAUUGCAUCAAAGAGGGAUUUUUACUGUUUGUCAUUGGAUUGUAUUUUGGUGCUAAAUCACAUCAAUCCCAGAAGGAGGUCAGGAAAAAAUGGAAAACGUGUAGCUGCUGUCAUCCCAAGUUUUGUUUACAUUUCUUGACAUUAAAGCUCUGAUUUCUGUAAGGAUUUUGAAGCUGAUCUUGUCU